AUGAACGCUGGCGGCGUGCCUAAUACAUGCAAGUCGAGCGAACAGACGAGGAGCUUGCUCCUCUGACGUUAGCGGCGGACGGGUGAGUAACACGUGGAUAACCUACCUAUAAGACUGGGAUAACUUCGGGAAACCGGAGCUAAUACCGGAUAAUAUAUUGAACCGCAUGGUUCAAUAGUGAAAGACGGUUUUGCUGUCACUUAUAGAUGGAUCCGCGCCGCAUUAGCUAGUUGGUAAGGUAACGGCUUACCAAGGCAACGAUGCGUAGCCGACCUGAGAGGGUGAUCGGCCACACUGGAACUGAGACACGGUCCAGACUCCUACGGGAGGCAGCAGUAGGGAAUCUUCCGCAAUGGGCGAAAGCCUGACGGAGCAACGCCGCGUGAGCGAUGAAGGUCUUCGGAUCGUAAAACUCUGUUAUUAGAGAAGAACAAAUGUGUAAGUAACUAUGCACGUCUUGACGGUACCUAAUCAGAAAGCCACGGCUAACUACGUG
rnacentral:rRNA from 1 species